CCCUUCAAACAUUUUGAAAGUGAUGUCAUCGUGCUGUGUUUUGGCUGGUAUUAUGUUGGGAGGGCGCACGAAGAACUGCAGCAGCCAGGCGGUAUAACCAGCGGCUGAGGAUCGUUGGGAAGUCCAGAAAAUCAGGUGCAAAAGUGGAGGGUGGUUGGACAGA